GGCGCGACAGGAACAAAUGGGCCUCCAGGUCCAAAUGGUGCUGUUGGGUUACCGGUAAGUUAGGUUUGAUAUAUUUGAUGUAUGUGAUUAGAUGUGAUGUAAAUUGACAUUAAUUUAUUCCAUUCAAACUUAGGGUUUGCCAGGAAAAGAAGGAUUAGUUGGACAAACUGGAAAACAUGGACCAAAAGUAAGUUUUUUUUUUACUGAUGUUUUCUAAUUCCAUAUUUAUUUAUUGUAUAAAAUACGUUAGAUAAUCACUUAACAGAGUUAUUCACCUAUGACUUACUGGUGAUAGAAUGGGAUAAAAGGUAUGCUCUGUCACACUAUCAUAGGAGUAAGUGCCUGUUAUUUUUGUCCCCUGUAGGGAGAGCCUGGAGUUAAAGGGAAUCCAGGCGGCCCUGGGAAGAUUGGAUCAAUUGUAGGUUUUUACCUUUGAAGAUGCAUGGUGGAAAAUGAUUGCCUGGUCUAACUGACCUGAAUUUUUUAUGUUGUUUACAGGGUGUUUCAGGUCCAAGUGGGAAGAAAGGAGAGCCUGGAACAAGAGGCAAAAAGGUGAGAUAACACUUUGCACCCAGAUUGGUUUCCAGUUUAAAGAACAAAAUAUGAAGCAUUUGCCAUGAAAAACAGGACAAAGACAUUUCACAGUUGUAUACAAUAUGUAUACAGAUACACAAAUAUACAGUGUUUGCAUAUUUAAAUGAUCUAUGCUCCUGUUUAGGGGCCAAUGGGUCAGGCAGGAUCUAUGGGUCCUCGUGGACUAAAGGGAAAACCAGGAUCUUCAGGACCUCCAGGGGAAAAAGGAUUCCAGGGUCAACCAGGGCCAAAGGGAAUGAGCGGUUCUCUUGGAAGGAGAGGAAGUAAAGGUGUUGCAGGAAAGCCAGGACCUCAAGGACCAAAAGGGAAGCAUGGUAAUCCUGGUCUCCCUGGAAAGCUGGCAAGUAUCCCUAAUGUCUAAACCCUUCUGACUAUUAUAUGAUUGUGCCAAACGUGAUUGUCUUUUACACUAACUCCAUUUAAGGGACGUAGUGGUACAGAUGGCCUGCUGGGAGUUAUAGGCACCGAGGGCGACCCAGUGAGUAGCUUGACCUUAUUCACUAUUCACAUUUUAUAGUGGUCCUAGCCAAUGCAAAACUCACUGCUCACUGUUGUGGAUGGCUCCUAUGCAGUUGCUAAGGUGUUCUGAAUGGUUGCCAUGUGGUUACUAGGGUGUUUUAGGUCAUUGCUGGGAUUUCUGGCCCAAGUAGAGUAGAAUCACUUGGCAAAUGUUAGAUUUAGCAUAAAAAGUGAGCAUUUACUAUCCUAUUGCACAACUUCAAGGGAGACAUUGGAUUCCGAGGACCUCCGGGGCGACCAGGUCCUCCAGGUAGUGCUGUAAGUAAGCUUGUUUUAUGCAGACUAUUUGAAUGAUUUAUUAUAAAGCAUGUUAGUUAUAUAAUAUCGUCAUGAUUUGUGGCAUGGUUUCAAAUACACAGGGUGUCCCAGGAACACUUGGUUUGCAAGGGAGUCAAGGACUACCUGGACCAAAAGUAAUUUCCACUCUGACUUUUAAAUAAAUGGUUCCUACUACAGUCA
ensembl:lncRNA